rnacentral:rRNA from 1 species
GACGAACGCUGGCGGCGUGCUUAACACAUGCAAGUCGAACGGAAAGGCCCUGCUUUUGUGGUGUGCUCGAGUGGCGAACGGGUGAGUAACACGUGAGUAACCUGCCCUUGACUUUGGGAUAACUUCAGGAAACUGGGGCUAAUACCGGAUAGGAGCUCCUGCUGCAUGGUGUGGGUUGGAAAGUUUCGGCGGUUGGGGAUGGACUCGCGGCUUAUCAGCUUGUUGGUGGGGUAGUGGCUUACCAAGGCUUUGACGGGUAGCCGGCCUGAGAGGGUGACCGGCCACAUUGGGACUGAGAUACGGCCCAGACUCCUACGGGAGGCAGCAGUGGGGAAUAUUGCACAAUGGGCGGAAGCCGGAUGCAGCAACGCCGCGUGCGGGAUGACGGCCUUCGGGUUGUAAACCGCUUUCGCCUGUGACGAAGCGUGAGUGACGGUAAUGGGUAAAGAAGCACCGGCUAACUACGUG